UUCUUCUAAAAAUCAACUAAGCACCAUGUGCAUGAGGCUUUAAUAAAAAAAAAGUCUAACAUGGGUCAUUUGAUGUUUGCCUUAAGAAAGAACUCAUAUGCCAGAAGCCAACUGCUAUCAUGUCAUAUUCUUGAAUAAACAUGGUGCCUCUCCUAAGCUGAAGCUGUUGUUUAUUAUUUUGCAUACAUUUUAACCCACAUAGUCAUAUUGAGCUUUCCUGGUUACCAAUCACAUUAUAAACCACAGAAAGCAUGCAAAGCUGGAGAAGCAGAGCCUAGUUCUGGUUAAUAGUCCUACUCAGCCUUUGGUCCAGCUAACUCUAACUACAUCUUGAGCUGGAUCAUAAGGGAAAGAGCUAUUGCUUUUGGAUUUAAGAAGUAUGCAGUGCCCAGCGUUCCUAAUGAACAGGAGAAACAGCUGGGCCACCCAACAUGAUCUUAAACCUGUACCAUAAAUAAUGAAG
rnacentral:lncRNA from 1 species